GAGGGUAUAGCUCAGUGGUAGAGCAUGUGCUCAGCAUGCACAGGGUCUUGGGUUCAAUCCCCAGUACCUCUU
rnacentral:tRNA from 1 species